GAGCGAGAUCCGUGCUGCCCAGAAAACAGCAUGCUCCUAAUUAAUUCUUCCAGCAGCAGACUCCCGACUGUUCACUAACAGAUAAGCAAACUGAGGCUCCAAGAGGCAAAACAACCUGCUCCAAGUCCUACAAGAGGAUUCAAGCCUAGACCUGUGCCCCCAUGGUCUUGACCUUCUUCAGCACGCCUUGAUCUCCCCCAGCCCAGGGCUUGUCACAAUUCUGUCUCCUGCGAGCUCCGGGAUGCUGGCACUGUCUCCACCUCCGUCUCUGGGACUUGGAUCUGCACUGUCAGCAUGGAGGAGCUGAACUCAUGAUGCUAAGUGAAAGAAGCUAGACAUGAAAGGUCCCAUGGAGCACGAUCCCAUCUGUGUGAAAUAUGCAGAAGAGAGAGAUUCACAAGAGACCGGAAGCUGACUGUUGCUGCAGACGGG
ensembl:lncRNA